rnacentral:rRNA from 1 species
GACAGAGGGUGCAAACGUUGCUCGGAAUUAUUGGGCGUAAAGCGCGCGUAGGCGGCUACCUAAGUCGGAUGUGAAAGCCCCUGGCUUAACCGGGGAAGUGCACCCGAAACUGGGUAGCUAGAGUGCAAAAGAGGGUCGCGGAAUUCCCAGUGUAGAGGUGAAACUCGUAGAUAUUGGGAGGAACACCGGUGGCGAAGGCGGCGACCUGGGUUGACACUGACGCUGAGGCGCGAAAGCGUGGGGAGCAAACAGG